GACGAACGCUGGCGGCGCGCUUAAUACAUGCAAGUCGAACGAGAAUCAUUGGUGCUUGCACUGAUGAGGAAAGUGGCGAACGGGUGAGUAACACAUGAGAAACCUGCCCCAAAGACCGGGAUAAGCUCUGGAAACGGAGUCUAAUACCGGAUACCUUCUUUUUAUCACAUGUUAAAAAGAAGAAAUGCUCCGGCGCUUUGGGAUGGUCUCGUGGUCUAUCAGCUUGUUGGUGAGGUAAAAGCUCACCAAGGCAUCGACGGAUAGCUGGUCUGAGAGGAUGUCCAGCCACAUUGGAACUGAGAUACGGUCCAAACUCCUACGGGAGGCAGCAGUAGGGAAUCUUGCACAAUGAGGGAAACCUUGAUGCAGCGACGCCGCGUGCGGGACGAAGGCCCUAGGGUUGUAAACCGCUUUCAGUAGGGACGAAAGUGACGGUACCUACAGAAGAAGCCCCGGCCAACUAUGUGCCAGCAGCCGCGGUAAUGUCGUACG
rnacentral:rRNA from 1 species